UAGCAAGGUAUAAGAUGAACAAUACGCGAUCCAAGGCUUGAGCCAAUGUGUUCCAACCCGAAUGGUUGGGAUUAUUGGCCAACGAGGUAUUCGUUCCACUCUCCGUGUUCCCAAUGGUUAACGCCGCCAUGUCAAUCGUGAUUCCACCCGAAGCCGGGAUCUAUAAAGAAUGUCCGACAAGCACAAGAUCUUGCCGCAAAUCCCUUCCAACGGAGUGAGUAGAACAUCUGGAGGCGAAUCCGAUCGAACGAGGACAUUGGCAUACGCCAGGGACAACAUCAGUUGGACGGUGACCAUCACCACCAAGGAUCCAGUAAAAGCCACUGCAACAGAAAUGCGAUGCCUUCACAAGCAACCCCUUGUGUAGUACGUAUGUAGGUAUGUAAUCUGACGAGAGAAAGGCCUUUAAACAGCCCAGCGGAGAAGGCAUCUCGAAAUCCCAGACUAAUUAGCAGUGGAUCGUGUUCUUACCCACUAAGGGUAAUUGGCCACCAGCUGAAGGCAGACGAGAGCGAAGGUAGAUGAGAAUGAGGAUGAGGAUCAAAAGAUUGAUGCCUCCCAAAAGAAUCCGACUCCUGGUCAUGGGGAAGGUCCAAAAUAGGGCCAAGGUCAGGGCAGCCACCACUACAACAGAGAGAGAGAGACAAGAAGUACGGCCAGCUUUUGAUCCACGAAUGAUAUCCGUCUGAGCGUAAACUUGGCCGUCACAUCCGGCCAAGGCUCGGACAAGUCUCCAUAGUAUUGCACAGUCUUUUUAGCCACUGCACUGGACACCGACCAAAUCCCGG